CAAGUCUGGUGCCAGCAGCCGCGGUAAUUCCAGCUCCAAUAGCGUAUAUUAAAGUUGUUGCAGUUAAAAAGCUCGUAGUUGGAUUUCUGUUAAUAAUUUAUAUAAAAUAUUUUGAUGAAUAUUUAUAUAACAUUAACAUAAUUCAUAUUACUAUUUUUUUUAGUAUAUGAAAUUUUACUUUGAGAAAAUUAGAGUGCUUAAAGCAGGCAUAUGCCUUGAAUACUCCAGCAUGGAAUAAUAUUAAAGAUUUUUAUCUUUCUUAUUGGUUCUAAGAUAAGAAUAAUGAUUAAUAGGGACAGUUGGGGGCAUUUGUAUUUAACAGUCAGAGGUGAAAUUCUUAGAUUUGUUAAAGACAGACUAAUGCGAAAGCAUUUGCCAAGGAUGUUUUCAUUAAUCAAGAACGAAAGUUAGGGGAUCGAAGACGAUCAGUUACCGUCGUAGUCUUAACCAUAAACUAUGCCAACUAGAGAUUGGAGGUUGUUCCUUA
rnacentral:rRNA from 1 species